rnacentral:rRNA from 1 species
UACGGGGGGGGCAAGCGUUGUUCGGAAUUACUGGGCGUAAAGGGUGCGUAGGCGGCUUUCUAAGUUGGAUGUGAAAACUCUGGGCUCAACCCAGAGCCUGCAUCCGAAACUGGAGUGCUAGAGUUCUGGAGGGGGUAGCGGAAUUCCUGGUGUAGCGGUGAAAUGCGUAGAUAUCAGGAGGAACACCGGUGGCGAAGGCGGCUACCUGGACAGAAACUGACGCUGAGGCGCGAAAGCUAGGGGAGCAAACAGG